UACGUAGGGUGCGAGCGUUAAUCGGAAUUACUGGGCGUAAAGCGUGCGCAGGCGGUCGUUCAAGUCGCGUGUGAAAGCCCCCGGCUCAACUGGGGAGGGUCACGCGAUACUGAUCGACUCGAAGGCAGGAGAGGGUAGUGGAAUUCCCGGUGUAGUGGUGAAAUGCGUAGAUAUUGGGAGGAACACCAGUGGCGAAGGCGGCUCACUGGACCGGUACUGACGCUGAGGCGCGAAAGCGUGGGGAGCAAACGGG
rnacentral:rRNA from 1 species